rnacentral:rRNA from 1 species
GCAAGUCGAGCGGACAGAUGGGAGCUUGCUCCCUGAUGUUAGCGGCGGACGGGUGAGUAACACGUGGGUAACCUGCCUGUAAGACUGGGAUAACUCCGGGAAACCGGGGCUAAUACCGGAUGGUUGUUUGAACCGCAUGGUUCAGACAUAAAAGGUGGCUUCGGCUACCACUUACAGAUGGACCCGCGGCGCAUUAGCUAGUUGGUGAGGUAACGGCUCACCAAGGCGACGAUGCGUAGCCGACCUGAGAGGGUGAUCGGCCACACUGGGACUGAGACACGGCCCAGACUCCUACGGGAGGCAGCAGUAGGGAAUCUUCCGCAAUGGACGAAAGUCUGACGGAGCAACGCCGCGUGAGUGAUGAAGGUUUUCGGAUCGUAAAGCUCUGUUGUUAGGGAAGAACAAGUGCCGUUCAAAUAGGGCGGCACCUUGACGGUACCUAACCAGAAAGCCACGGCUAACUACGUGCCAGCAGCCGCGGUAAUACGUAGGUGGCAAGCGUUGUCCGGAAUUAUUGGGCGUAAAGGGCUCGCANGCGGUUUCUUAAGUCUGAUGUGAAAGCCCCCGGCUC